rnacentral:rRNA from 1 species
UACGUAGGGGGCAAGCGUUGUCCGGAAUCAUUGGGCGUAAAGAGCGUGUAGGCGGCCCGGUAAGUCCGCUGUAAAAGUCAAAGGCUCAACCUUUGAAUGUCAGUGGAUACUGCCAGGCUAGAGUCCGGAAGAGGCGAGUGGAACUCCUGGUGUAGCGGUGGAAUGCGCAGAUAUCAGGAAGAACACCAACGGCGAAGGCAGCUCGCUGGGACGGUACUGACGCUGAGACGCGAAAGCGUGGGGAGCAAACAGG